rnacentral:lncRNA from 1 species
CAACCAUCAGCUGGUCUCAUAUUUUUAUACAUUUUAUAAAACCACAUUCAGCAGAAUUUGGAACCAAUAUAUCGGUAUGUUAAUAAUUAUUAUGAAAUGAAUCCAUUUAAUAAGUACUAGAAAUUAAAAAUCUGAUCUUUAUAGUGGACUUCAGUUAAGAUGGAGGAGAGGCAGAUGAUACUCAUAAUGAUCAUCACAGUUUCAGGCAUUUAUGCUGAUAGAAUUGGACCAAGAGAAGGAGACACUAAUAUAAUCAGAGAAGAAGGAGAGUCUGUGACACUGAGCUGCACGUAUGAAACAACCAGCGAUAAUAUUUGGCUCUACUGGUACAGACAAUAUCUAAACAGAGAACCAGAAUAUAUACUGUAUAAAGGCGCUCGAUCAUGGAGCAGUUAUAAGGAUAUACCAGAUGGGUUUCAGUCAACUACAUCCCAGACAUCCACUGAACUUACUAUUGUAAAAGCAGCUCUGUCAGAUUCUGCUCUUUAUUAUUGUGCACUUCGAGUAGCCCAGUGAUACAAAAUACCAGAGAAGCUUUACAAAAACUCACAUGAAAUUAAUGCUUUGAAGAGUCUUUAAUCAAUCAGUAUCAAAACACAUCAUGUUUUAUAAACCACAAACAGUGAAUGUGGUAACAGCUGUGAAUUUGGGAAG